rnacentral:rRNA from 1 species
UGGUUUAAUUCGAUGCAACGCGAAGAACCUUACCUGGGUUUGACAUCCCCAGACAGCCCUAGAGAUAGGGUUUCCCCUUCGGGGGCUGGGAGACAGGUGCUGCAUGGCUGUCGUCAGCUCGUAUCGUGAGAUGUCGGGCUAAGUCCCUUAACGAGCGCAACCCUUAUCCCUAGUUGCCAUCAUUUAGUUGGGCACUCUAUGGAGACUGCCGGUGUUAAACCGGAGGAAGGCGGGGAUGACGUCAAGUCCUCAUGGCCUUUAUAUCCAGGGGUACACACGUGCUACAAUGGCCGGUACAAAGGGUUGCCAACCCGCGAGGGGGAGCUAAUCUCAUAAAGCCGGUCUCAGUUCGGAUUGAAGUCUGCAAUUUGACUUCAUGAAGCUGGAAUCGCUAGUAAUCGCAGAUCAGCACGCUGCGGUGAAUUCGUUCCCGGGCCUUGUACACACCGCCCGUCACACCACGAAAGUUGACUGCACCAGAAGUCGCUGUCCUAACCGUAAGGAGGGAGGCGCCCAAGGUGCGGCCGAUGAUUGGGGUGAAGUCGU